AAAUGGAAUAGAAUCCACUGAGGAAUUUUUCCAUCGCAUUAGGGCUACUAAGUUGGGAAUGGGAAAGACGAGCUCGGCAGCCAGAAACCAUCUCGUUCAGUAAAUACACACAGAGAGAAACCGGGCACGAACAGGGAAAACCAGCGAGCGUCCCCUCCCUCGCUGACAGCAGGUGGCUGUGGGAGAGAGUCCCCCCGACAAACACUUCUGGGGUGAAGAAGAGGAACGUGAAGUACACAUGAAUAGUUUCAUAUUAAUGCUAAAAGAAGCAGCAAGAGCUGUCAGGACUGUGCACAGACUCUCAGGUUUUCAAAGCUGAAGGUGCAGGGGGAACCGAGAGGCAGCAGUCCAAACGCAACCAUGCAGGCACCGGGCACCUCGGGGCGACUGUUUCGUAAGCUCCAGCAGCCCCAGCUCAGGUCGGACAAGCUCAAGCCAGAGCCGAGUUUCAGCUCGUUGUUAUGAAGAGGAAUUAAGCCCCAGAGCAACUUAUCAAAAACCCUGCCCGGAUUUGGCACGGGGGAGUUAAAACCGAGGGGAGCGCCGCUCGCCAGGCCGCACUGCUGCCACCGGAGGGGUGGCAGGGACCCGGUGACGUGGAGCUGGAGGGAAACGUUGCUGGAGGAGUUAUUUAUGCUUCGCCAUGAAACCGGAGAGAUACACAGCCCUGGAGUCCCCGGGGAGCCGUCCCAGGCCUGAUGGUGGACACCAUCAUCAGGGGGUGCUGCAUACCUCAAAGCACAAGGGGACAAAAGGGACAGAGAAUGUACAUGUGCUGUUGUCAUACUGGUGCCCCAAAGCACACGUGCAGCUUUUGCAAAAGCUCACAUCACCCCAGCGUUCCUGCGCUCUCCCGUGUGGAAUUUCUCAUGCUGCCUCCCCAAAGCCGUGCUCCCACGUCUGGGAAAUGCCAGGUCAGCCGGAUCAUGCUGAGGACUAAAUUAAACAAGGAAACACCUCCGCUUGUCCUCACCCAUCAGGAAAUCCAUUUUUUAAACCUCAGAUCAAGGCAAUUCAUCUUCCCAUUAGGACAGAGCUGGCAUAUCCAAUGA
rnacentral:lncRNA from 1 species